rnacentral:lncRNA from 1 species
AUGGCCGAGACCCUGCGGACCCGUGAUCUCAGUGGAGAAGCUUUCUUAAGCCGCGAGGGAUUUGCUUUUCUGCCUUCGUUGAUUUUCCUUUGGAAACAACUGGUGCUAGUCCCACCCUUUUCCCCUCGCACCCCCGCCCCUCCCCUCGUACUCAGAAGGAACCGCCACAUAUCUUGUCUUUUUCAGCUCCGGGGACGGGGACGGGGACGCAAUGGCUCUCUCCUUCUUGCACUUUGGAAGGCGACGUCCCAGAGUUGGGCUCUUUCCAGAACAGGUCGUUUCGCUGGCAGCAGAACAUGGGUGAAGCUUCCUCACGACUACCGGCCCCCACCUCCCCCAAAGUGGGUUUCUCCGGAGGGAUUCUCUGAAGCCGAUUUCUUCUCGCCCCUCCUCUGUCCCACCAUUGAGGCUGCUGACUCGGGCCUGGUCCUGUUUUGGAUGGCUCCCCUGCAAGCGGGAAAUGCGGCUACCCACCCUCUGCCCCGUCGUGGGCCCAGCAGCCACCGACCGAGCCUUUGCCCUGUGCAGACGGGAGGUUCUCACGGUCCUCUUGGGACCCUUCGCGUCAGCAUUUCAGCCUUGGGAGCGCCCCACCCCCGUCUGAGGGGACCCGG